rnacentral:rRNA from 1 species
GCUUGCACCGAGCGGAUGGGUUGCGAACGGGUGAGUAACGCGUAGGUAACCUGCCUCUUAGCGGGGGAUAACUAUUGGAAACGAUAGCUAAUACCGCAUAAAAGUCGACAUCGCAUGAUGUUGACUUGAAAGGUGCAAUUGCAUCACUAAGAGAUGGACCUGCGUUGUAUUAGCUAGUUGGUGAGGUAACGGCUCACCAAGGCGACGAUACAUAGCCGACCUGAGAGGGUGAUCGGCCACACUGGGACUGAGACACGGCCCAGACUCCUACGGGAGGCAGCAGUAGGGAAUCUUCGGCAAUGGGGGCAACCCUGACCGAGCAACGCCGCGUGAGUGAAGAAGGUUUUCGGAUCGUAAAGCUCUGUUGUAAGAGAAGAACGAGUGUGAGAGUGGAAAGUUCACACUGUGACGGUAACUUACCAGAAAGGGACGGCUAACUACGUGCCAGCAGCCGCGGUAAUACGUAGGUCCCGAGCGUUAUCCGGAUUUAUUGGGCGUAAAGCGAGCGCAGGCGGUUAGAUAAGUCUGAAGUUAAAGGCUGUGGCUUAACCAUAGUACGCUUUGGAAACUGUUUAACUUGAGUGCAGAAGGGGAGAGUGGAAUUCCAUGUGUAGCGGUGAAAUGCGUAGAUAUAUGGAGGAACACCGGUGGCGAAAGCGGC